UACGAAGGGAGCUAGCGUUGUUCGGAAUCAUUGGGCGUAAAGGGCGCGUAGGUGGUUCUGUAUGUCUACCGUGAAAGCGUACGGCUCAACCGUAUUUUGUCGGUGGAAACUGCAGGACUUGAGGCUGGGAGGGGCUGGUGGAAUUCCCUGUGUAGCGGUGAAAUGCGUAGAGAUGGGGGAGAACACUCGUGGCGAAGGCGGCCAGCUAGACCAGUUCUGACACUGAGGCGCGACAGCGUGGGGAGCAAACAGG
rnacentral:rRNA from 1 species